rnacentral:sRNA from 1 species
CAGAGGAGAGGGAGGAGGUCCAGAGCCACUCACACUCUUCUCCCUCCCUCCCUCCCUGUCUCUCUCUCUCUCUUUCUCUCUCUCUCUCU